rnacentral:rRNA from 1 species
UACAGAGGGUGCUAGCGUUGUUCGGAAUCAUUGGGCGUAAAGGGCGUGUAGGCGGUUUGUUAAGUCAUGUGUGAAAUCCCUCGGCUCAACCGGGGAACGACGCAUGAAACUGGCAAGCUAGAGUACCAAAGAGGGGGGUGGAAUUCCCGGUGUAGCGGUGAAAUGCGCAGAUAUCGGGAAGAACACCCGUGGCGAAGGCGGCUCUCUGGGACGGUACUGACGCUGAGACGCGAAAGCGUGGGGAGCAAACAGG